rnacentral:rRNA from 1 species
ACCUCUUCGGAGGUCAGCGGCGGACGGGUGAGUAACACGUGGGCAACCUGCCUGUAAGACUGGGAUAACUCCGGGAAACCGGAGCUAAUACCGGAUACUAUGUCAAACCGCAUGGUUUGACAUUCAAAGACGGUUUCGGCUGUCACUUACAGAUGGGCCCGCGGCGCAUUAGCUAGUUGGUGAGGUAAUGGCUCACCAAGGCGACGAUGCGUAGCCGACCUGAGAGGGUGAUCGGCCACACUGGGACUGAGACACGGCCCAGACUCCUACGGGAGGCAGCAGUAGGGAAUCUUCCGCAAUGGACGAAAGUCUGACGGAGCAACGCCGCGUGAGUGAUGAAGGUUUUCGGAUCGUAAAACUCUGUUGUCAGGGAAGAACAAGUGCCGGAGUAACUGCCGGCACCUUGACGGUACCUGACCAGAAAGCCACGGCUAACUACGUGCCAGCAGCCGCGGUAAUACGUAGGUGGCAAGCGUUGUCCGGAAUUAUUGGGCGUAAAGCGCGCGCAGGCGGUUUCUUAAGUCUGAUGUGAAAGCCCCCGGCUCAACCGGGGAGGGUCAUUGGAAACUGGGAAACUUGAGUGCAGAAGAGGAGAGUGGAAUUCCACGUGUAGCGGUGAAAUGCGUAGAGAUGUGGAGGAACACCAGUGGCGAAGGCGACUCUCUGGUCUGUAACUGACGCUGAGGCGCGAAAGCGUGGG